AUCUGGGUGGUGUAGUCGGUUAUCACGCUAGUCUUACACACUAGAGGACCUCGGUUUGUACCCGGGCUCAUAAA
rfam:Brassica oleracea var. oleracea cultivar TO1000 chromosome C5, whole genome shotgun sequence